rnacentral:tRNA from 1 species
UGGGAACAUAGCUCAGCUGGAUAGAGCAUACGAGUUCUAAUCGUACGGUCACAGGUUCGAGCCCUGCUGUUCCCGU